UGCAGUCGAGCGGUUGAGAGAAGCUUGCUUCUCUUGAGAGCGGCGGACGGGUGAGUAAUGCCUAGGAAUCUGCCUGGUAGUGGGGGAUAACGCUCGGAAACGGACGCUAAUACCGCAUACGUCCUACGGGAGAAAGCAGGGGACCUUCGGGCCUUGCGCUAUCAGAUGAGCCUAGGUCGGAUUAGCUAGUUGGUGAGGUAAUGGCUCACCAAGGCGACGAUCCGUAACUGGUCUGAGAGGAUGAUCAGUCACACUGGAACUGAGACACGGUCCAGACUCCUACGGGAGGCAGCAGUGGGGAAUAUUGGACAAUGGGCGAAAGCCUGAUCCAGCCAUGCCGCGUGUGUGAAGAAGGUCUUCGGAUUGUAAAGCACUUUAAGUUGGGAGGAAGGGCAUUAACCUAAUACGUUGGUGUCUUGACGUUACCGACAGAAUAAGCACCGGCUAACUCUGUGCCAGCA
rnacentral:rRNA from 1 species